GAUGAACGCUGGCGGCGUGCCUAAUACAUGCAAGUCGAGCGAAUGGAUUAAGAGCUUGCUCUUAUGAAGUUAGCGGCGGACGGGUGAGUAACACGUGGGUAACCUACCCAUAAGACUGGGAUAACUCCGGGAAACCGGGGCUAAUACCGGAUAAUAUUUUGAACUGCAUAGUUCGAAAUUGAAAGGCGGCUUCGGCUGUCACUUAUGGAUGGACCCGCGUCGCAUUAGCUAGUUGGUGAGGUAACGGCUCACCAAGGCGACGAUGCGUAGCCGACCUGAGAGGGUGAUCGGCCACACUGGGACUGAGACACGGCCCAGACUCCUACGGGAGGCAGCAGUAGGGAAUCUUCCGCAAUGGACGAAAGUCUGACGGAGCAACGCCGCGUGAGUGAUGAAGGCUUUCGGGUCGUAAAACUCUGUUGUUAGGGAAGAACAAGUGCUAGUUGAAUAAGCUGGCACCUUGACGGUACCUAACCAGAAAGCCACGGCUAACUACGUGCCAGCCGCCGCGGUUAAUACG
rnacentral:rRNA from 1 species